CGGCAAUUGUUUUUGAGCAACAUUUAUUGUGUAUGAUUUUUGCGAUGCGCGCGAACUAAAACAAUUGAAGGCAAUUAUAUCGUUAUUAAUAAGAAAGUGAUGGGCGAGUUGAUUGUGCUUCAUUAUGUUUAGUUUUUUUCUGUUGUUUUAAGGGGUAAUGGUCCGUUACAUUGGCCCAUUUUACGUUUGGAGGUUUCCAUUUUAAGUUUACUUGUUUUCGGUAGAAAGUGUAAUAAUAAAAUACAAGUUGCAAUCACAAAGGUCUGCUAUUAACGAUUAGAGAGCCGAACGAUAGAAGACUUCUUAGCCCAAAGCUUCACUUCAAGUCCCCUUUUGCUACCUGGCUGAUCCACCGCUUAGGGUGGAAAAGAGCUAAGAACUAUGCCUCGGCCUUGGAUCAUUUUACGCACAUCCUGCAUCCUCUUUUGCAUACCGCCAAAACUGCAUCUGAAGGACAUUAAACUCUUUAAAAUA